ACUACGAGCCAAGCUUAAAACCCAAAGGACUUGACGGUACCCCACAUCCCCCUAGAGGAGCCUGUCCUGUAAUCGAUAAUCCACGUUUAACCUCACCAUUUCUAGUUAAUCAGCCUGUAUACCUCCGUCGUCAGCUUACCACGUGAGCGUUAGUUAGUGGGCCCAAUGUAUUUCACCAAAACGUCAGGUCAAGGUGCAGUAAAUAAAAUGGAGAGAGAUGGGCUACACUUUCUACUUUAGAAAAAACGAAAAACUAUGUAUGAAAUCUAGUUAGAAGGCGGAUUUAGUAGUAAAAAGGAAUCAGCAUGUCCAUUUUAACCCGGCA
rnacentral:rRNA from 1 species